CCUACGGGAGGCAGCAGUGAGGAAUAUUGGUCAAUGGGCGUAAGCCUGAACCAGCCAAGUCGCGUGAGGGAUGAAGGUUCUAUGGAUCGUAACCCUCUUUUAUAAGGGCCUAAAGUGCGGGACGUGUCCCGUUUUGUAUGUACCUUAUGAAUACGUAUCGGCUAACUCCAUGCCAGCAGCCGCGGUAAUACGGAGGAUCCGAGCGUUAUCCGGCUUUAUUGGGUUUAAAGGGUUCGUAGGCGGAAUGCCAAGUCAGCGGUAAAAUCGCGGGGCUCAACCUCGCUCCGCCGUUGAAACUGGCGGUCGUGAGUGGGCGAGAAGUAUGCGGAAUGCGUGGUGUAGCGGUGAAAUGCAUAGAGAGCACGAAGAACUCCGAUUGAGAAGGCAGCAUACCGGCGCCCAACUGACGCUGAAGCACGAAAGCGUGGGGAGCGAACAGGAGUAGAUACCCUGGUAGGC
rnacentral:rRNA from 1 species